UGCAAGAGCAGAAAUGUCCCAUGGAUUCCAGAAAUCCUGACUGCCGACAGAGAAUACAUACACUUCAGAAAAUUAAUACUUUGGGACUACCCUGGCAUCUGGACCUUCACCUGCCUUCUGACCUAGACUUCCUACAAAGGUCCAGUGAAACUCUGCAGUAGCUCAGCGGGCACCAUCUCCACUUUCGAUAAAGCACGUUACAGUCUUGCGGACAAAAUGAUACAUUAAGACCACACCAUUCUGGUUGUUGCUCAGCACGUUACUGCUCUUCAGCUACUCGAUAGAAAGCAUUUCUGCAGAGACUUGCAACGCCUCUAGAUGCCAAGAAGCAUAAAACAGAUAUGUUACCAGCAAAAGUGAGUGACAAAAAGGAGCAGGUGGUUACACUGAAAUGGCCAACAUCGAUACUGAGGAAGAAAUCCAAAUUGACAAGAUAUGAAGAAUGUGUUGCUCACAGAACAAGAUCAGAAAGACGGGUCCGCUUUCGAGAAUCAGAUGAGAUAAUUUUUCACACAGCGACCGAAUAUGGCUCCCCAUUGCCGACGAUGUUUUGGAAAUUAUUGUUUGUCAUUUCGCUGAGUCUGGUGAUCAUAUUGCUCCAUUAUAACGAGAGAGCGUCAAACAUGUGUGAACAACUUCAUUCAAAACUCAUCAGUUAUUACCUGGAAAUGAAGCACAAAACUUUCAACUGGUUGAAUCGGAGUAGAUGACAUUAGGACAUCCACAGAUGCCAGCAGCUUCAGACAAUCUCAAUUUAGCAAAAAACACUCAAGCAAAUGUGAAAACCUUUUGCCUUAAACUUUAUUAAAUGGAAAGUCGUUGAAGAAAUGAACUGAAAGAGGAAAGAGCUGUGAGAGUUUACCUAUCAACUGAAAUUUAUAGAACUAUUGUCAUAAUAUUUUGUUAUCAAUCAUUUUAUAACUCAAAUGAUGAAUUAUUUCACACUGAUGUUUCUAUAUAAUGCAACUCGCAUGAAAGAAUCAACUCAAAGUCUAGCAUGCCAUGAGAUAAAUACAAAAUGCUGAAGUAACUCAGCGGGUCAGGCAGCAUCUCUGGAGAAAACGAGUGGGUGACGUUUCAA